rnacentral:tRNA from 2 species
CGGGCUGUAGCGCAGGGGCUAGCGCACGCCGUUCGGGACGGUGAGGUCGGAGGUUCAAAUCCUCUCAGCCCGA